UACGUAGGGUCCAAGCGUUAUCCGGAAUCACUGGGCGUAAAGCGUGCGUAGGCGGCGUGUUAAGUGUGAUGUUAAAUCGUGUGGCUCAACCAUAUCGAUGCAUCGCAUACUGGCAUGCUAGAGGAAGGCAGAGGCAAGUGGAAUUAGUAGUGUAGCAGUGAAAUGCGUAGAGAUUACUAGGAACACCAAUGGCGAAGGCAGCUUGCUGGGCCUUUUCUGACGCUGAGGCACGAAAGCGUGGGGAGCAAACAGG
rnacentral:rRNA from 1 species